GCUUAGACUCCUUCUCUGACAGACCUCUUUUUAUCGAACCAGUUUUUCCAGAUAAUUUAGGCUUACUAUAUCUUCCACGAAGUGAUCCAUUGCCUUUUUUUAGACCAUCUCCUUCAAGUGGUAAAUUCUGAUUUUCCUUGUCCUUGCUAGCAAAUCUUCUUCUACUUUUAUUCUGGUUUCCCAACUUUGGUUUGGCCCUGCCACAAGUGCCACUGAAGCUGAUUUCUGUAUUCAAAGAUGCAAGACUAUGCCUA
rnacentral:misc_RNA from 1 species